rnacentral:rRNA from 1 species
AGCACCUACGGGGGGCAGCAGUAGGGAAUCUUCCACAAUGGACGAAAGUCUGAUGGAGCAACGCCGCGUGAGUGAAGAAGGGCUUCGGCUCGUAAAGCUCUGUUGGUAGUGAAGAAAGAUAGAGGUAGGAACUGGCCUUUAUUUGACGGUAAUUACUUAGAAAGUCACGGCUAACUACGUGCCAGCAGCCGCGGUAAUAUGUAGGUGGCAAGGGUUGUCCGGAUUUAUUGGGCGUAAAG